AGCGCUAGCGUCCUUUUCUGUAGCUGGUCGCUGUGAGAAGCUUGCAGGAGUUCACAAUGCUUUACAAGAUUAUCAAUCUAGUUGCUUCAAAUGUCAAGUUGCUCGCUAAUCGCAUAUCAUUGGACGGUUACCUCUACGGACCAGAUGUUGGAUGAUGACUGUCUCAGGCUUUAGUGCAUUGAUCUAAUCAGUGAUGUUGAAGCGGGCUAUUCAAGCAUCAUGCAUAGAUUCAGCAAAUUACGCCAUGGGUGAACUCUGAAGAGCAGCAGUCAUUUUUGUUACGUUGAGAUGACGUUUAACGGCAGCAGUGAGCAGCGUGUGACGGCAGGAAACGGGUGAGGCGUUUCUACAGUCGUCCUGCGUCACUUGAAUUUUAUCGUCUCCAUCAUUCUGAAGACUGAUUUGCGUUUUCAUGCUUUUGUAAUAAAAAAAUUACAAAUCCCUAAA